rnacentral:rRNA from 1 species
UACGGGGGGGGCAAGCGUUGUUCGGAAUUACUGGGCGUAAAGGGUUCGUAGGUGGCUUGCUAAGUCAGACGUGAAAUCCCUCAGCUUAACUGGGGAACUGCGUCUGAUACUGGCGAGCUUGAGUGCAGGAGAGGAACGCAGAAUUCCAGGUGUAGCGGUGAAAUGCGUAGAUAUCUGGAGGAAUACCGGUGGCGAAGGCGGCAUUCUGGACCGACAUUGACGCUGAGGAGCGAAAGCCAGGGGAGCAAACGGG